CCCAGACUCCUACGGGAGGCAGCAGUGGGGAAUAUUGCACAAUGGGGGGAACCCUGAUGCAGCGACGCCGCGUGGGCGAGGAAGUCUUUCGGUAUGUAAAGCCCUCUCGGCAGGGAAGAAGAAAUGACGGUACCUGAAUAAGAAGCACCGGCUAAAUACGUGCCAGCAGCCGCGGUAAUACGUAUGGUGCAAGCGUUAUCCGGAUUUACUGGGCGUAAAGGGAGCGCAGGCGGCGCGCCAAGUUUGAUGUGAAACCCCGGGGCUCAACCCCGGGCAUGCAUUGGAAACUGGCGGGCUGGAGUGCCGGAGAGGUAAGCGGAAUUCCUAGUGUAGCGGUGAAAUGCGUAGAUAUUAGGAGGAACACCAGUGGCGAAGGCGGCUUACUGGACGGCAACUGACGCUGAGGCUCGAAAGCGUGGGGAGCAAACAGGAUUAGAUACCCCCGUA
rnacentral:rRNA from 1 species